rnacentral:rRNA from 1 species
AUUGAACGCUGGCGGCAUGCCUAACACAUGCAAGUCGAACGGGGGUAGCAAUACUCCAGUGGCGGACGGGUGAGGAAUACAUAGGAAUUUGCCCUUAAGUGGGGGAUAGCCCGGGGAAACCCGGAUUAAUACCGCAUGAACCCGUGAGAGCAAAGUCGGGGACGGCAAGGCUUGGCGCUUUUGGAGAAGCCUAUGUCGGAUUAGCUUGUUGGUGAGGUAAUGGCUCACCAAGGCCGCGAUCCGUAACUGGUCUGAGAGGAUGAUCAGUCACACCGGAACUGAGACACGGUCCGGACUCCUACGGGAGGCAGCAGUGGGGAAUAUUGGACAAUGGGCGAAAGCCUGAUCCAGCAAUGCCGCGUGUGUGAAGAAGGCCUUCGGGUUGUAAAGCACUUUAGGCUGGAAAGAAAAAGCUUUGGCUAAUAUCCAAAGCCUUGACGGUACCAGCAGAAUAAGCACCGGCUAACUCCGUGCCAGCAGCCGCGGUAA